CAGUCGAGGGGUAUAGGUUUUCGGACCUAGAGACCGGCGCACGGGUGCGUAAUGCGUAUGCAAUCUACCUUUUACAGAGGGAUAGCCCAGAGAAAUUUGGAUUAAUACCUCAUAGUAUAAUGACUCGGCAUCGAGAUAUUAUUAAAGUCACAACGGUAAAAGAUGAGCAUGCGUCCCAUUAGCUAGAUGGUAAGGUAACGGCUUACCAUGGCAACGAUGGGUAGGGGUCCUGAGAGGGAGAUCCCCCACACUGGUACUGAGACACGGACCAGACUCCUACGGGAGGCAGCAGUGAGGAAUAUUGGUCAAUGGGCGCAAGCCUGAACCAGCCAUGCCGCGUGCAGGAUGAAGCAUCUAUGGUGUGUAAACUGCUUUUGUACGAGAAGAAACACUCCUACGUGUAGGAGCUUGACGGUAUCGUAAGAAUAAGGACCGGCUAACUCCGUGCCAGCAGCCGCGGUAAUACAGAGGGUCCAAGCGUUAUCCGGAAUCAUUGGGUUUAAAGGGUCCGUAGGCGGUUUUGUAAGUCAGUGGUGAAAGCCCAUCGCUCAACGGUGGAACGGCCAUUGAUACUGCAAGACUUGAAUUAUUGGGAAGUAACUAGAAUAUGUAGUGUAGCGGUGAAAUGCUUAGAGAUUACAUGGAAUACCAAUUGCGAAGGCAGGUUACUACCAAUAUAUUGACGCUGAUGGACGAAAGCGUGGGGAGCGAACAGGAUUAGAUACCCUGGUAGUCCACGCCGUAAACGAUGGAUACUAGCUGUUCGGAGCAAUCUGAGUGGCUAAGCGAAAGUGAUAAGUAUCCCACCUGGGGAGUACGUUCG
rnacentral:rRNA from 1 species